rnacentral:rRNA from 1 species
AAGUCGAGCGAACCGAUAAGAAGCUUGCUUUUUGUUGGUUAGCGGCGGACGGGUGAGUAACACGUGGGUAACCUGCCUGUAAGACCGGGAUAACUCCGGGAAACCGGUGCUAAUACCGGAUAGAUUAUCUUUCCGCCUGGAGAGAUAAGGAAAGAUGGCUUUUGCCAUCACUUACAGAUGGGCCCGCGGCGCAUUAGCUAGUUGGUGAGGUAACGGCUCACCAAGGCGACGAUGCGUAGCCGACCUGAGAGGGUGAUCGGCCACACUGGGACUGAGACACGGCCCAGACUCCUACGGGAGGCAGCAGUAGGGAAUCUUCCGCAAUGGACGAAAGUCUGACGGAGCAACGCCGCGUGAGCGAAGAAGGUCUUCGGAUCGUAAAGCUCUGUUGUUAGGGAAGAACAAGUAUCGGAGGAAAUGCCGGUACCUUGACGGUACCUGACGAGAAAGCCACGGCUAACUACGUGCCAGCAGCCGCGGUAAUACGUAGGUGGCAAGCGUUGUCCGGAUUUAUUGGGCGUAAAGCGCGCGCAGGCGGUCCUUUAAGUCUGAUGUGAAAUCUUGUGGCUCAACCGCAAGCGGUCAUUGGAAACUGGGGGACUUGAGUGCAGAAGAGGAAAGCGGAAUUCCACGUGUAGCGGUGAAAUGCGUAGAGAUGUGGAGGAACACCAGUGGCGAAGGCGGCUUUCUGGUCUGUAACUGACGCUGAGGCGCG